rnacentral:lncRNA from 10 species
GCAAAAAAAACAAGGCAUCAGUAUUGUUGAGUAUUAGCUUGUACCUGGUUCGGAGGCUAAGUUUGCGGGAGAAAGCAGGGGUGAGCCACGGUGGCUGCCUGGCUGUGCACCGGGGCCGGAGUUUGGACCAAGACAAAGACAGGAGCUGUCCGCGGUGCUGAAUCGGCGGCGCCGCCGCCGGGGCAAGAGGGCUUCUGUAACCAGCCCUCUGCUCAUUCGCUCCCCAUCCUUCUAACUCCCCUUCGCUCUGUGACUCUUGCCUUCCCCUGAAUUUAUUUCCCUUUUGGGGUGCUCACCUUAGAACCUGCGCCCUGUACACAGGUGUAUAUACAUAUAUCAAAGAACAAAACGAUUGAUUGAAAACGGUGUCUUCUCCUUUCUUCCCAAAUAAAUGAUGCUAGAAAGGUUUAUUUUAACUGUACUCUAAAAUGGAGAGAAACGGACAUUUCCACUCCUAAAUAAAUGGAAAUUCGUGUUAAAAACAAUGCAACUAACCUAUAACAAAUGCCAAGAAUCUGCCCUCUGAUUUAUUCCGAUAAAGAGGCAAGGGGUUUAGAAAUUUUAGUUUCGGG